UCCGGUUGAUCCUGCCGGAGGCUACCGCUAUUGGAGUUCGAUUAAGCCAUGCGAGUCGCGAGAAAUUAGAUUCUCGGCGUACCGCUCAGUAACACGUGGGUAACCUGCCCUAUGCUGGAUAAUAACCUCGGGAAACUGAGAAUAAUGAUCCAUAGUUCACUACGCCUGGAACGGUGAGUGGAUGAAAGCUCCGGCGGCAUAGGAUGGGCCUGCGGCGUAUCAGGUUGUAGGGGGUGUAACGUACCCUCUAGCCCUCUACGCGUACGGGUGUUGGGAGACAUAGCCCGGAGAUGGAUUCUGAGACACGAAUCCAGACCCUACGGGGUGCAGCAGGCGCGAAAACUUGGCAAUGCGAGAAAUCGUGACCAGGGAACUCCAAGUGCAUCGGGUAAGACCGGUGCUUUUCUUGACUCUAAAUAGGUCUUGGAAUAAGGGGUGGGUAAGGACGGUGCCAGCCGCCGCGGUAAUACCGGCGCCUCAAGUGGUAGUCGCUUUUAUUGGGCCUAAAACGUCCGUAGCCGGUCUGAUACAUUCGUGGGUAAAUCAACCAGCUCAACUGGUUGAAUUCUGCGAGGACGGUCAGACUUGGGACCGGGAGAGGUGUGGGGUACGCUCAGGGUAGGGGUAAAAUCCUGUCAUCCUGAGCGGACCACCUGUUGCGAAG
rnacentral:rRNA from 1 species